CUCAACUGGUUGAGUGUCCAACUCUUGAUUUCGGCUCAGGUCAUGAUCUCACGGUUUUGUAAGAAUGAGCCCUAUGUCAGUCUCCACGCUGAUGGCAUGGAACCUGCUUGGGAUUCUCUCUCUCCCUCUCUCUCUCUCUUCCCGUCCCCUACUC